rnacentral:rRNA from 1 species
UACGUAGGGUGCAAGCGUUAAUCGGAAUUACUGGGCGUAAAGCGUGCGCAGGCGGCUUUGCAAGACAGAUGUGAAAUCCCCGGGCUUAACCUGGGAACUGCAUUUGUGACUGCAUGGCUAGAGUACGGUAGAGGGGGAUGGAAUUCCGCGUGUAGCAGUGAAAUGCGUAGAUAUGCGGAGGAACACCGAUGGCGAAGGCAAUCCCCUGGACCUGUACUGACGCUCAUGCACGAAAGCGUGGGGAGCAAACAGG